CGGCUAAUUUUUGUAUUUUUAGUAGAGAUGGGGUUUCACCAUGUUGGCCAGGCUGUUCUCUAGCUCCUGACCUCAAAUGAUCCAUCCUCCUUGGCCUCCCAAAGUGGUGAGAUUACAGGCGUGAGCCACCACGCCCUGCCUCCUGGAACAUUUUUCAUCCCCUAGUCCGCCAACUAGUCUCUACAACAAAAUUUCCUAGAGUUGCUUGUACAUAUUGUCUCUAAUCUUUCCCUUCCGUUGUCUGAACCCACUCCUGUCAGGCUUUUGUCCCCACCAUUCUGAUCGGAUAGCUCUUGUAAUGGUCACUAAUGACCUCCAUGUUGCUAAAUUCAAUGGUCAUUUCAUCUUAUUUGAUCUGUCAGCAGUAUUUGACACAGUUGCUCAUUCCAUCUCUCUUUGAAAACCUUUCAAAGACUUCACCUCUCAGUUUUUCUGCCACCCUGGAGGCUCUUUUCCAGGCUCAUUUGCUGCUUCCUCUUGAUCUGCAAGACCUCUAACCAUGGAGUAUCCCCAAGGCCCAGUCCUUGGACCUCUGCUUUGUCUGCAUUUUCUUGGUUAUCUCAUUUUUGUUUAAUAACUUUUAAAGUAUCAUCAUAUGCAAAUGACUCAUAAACUUAUCUGUCAGACCAGAUAUGUCACAGAUAUGUCACAACUUCAUCUUCACAUAUCCAGCUAUCUACUCAACAUCUCUAAUGGACAGGCCCCAAACACUUAAUCUCAUGAAAUUGCUCUUCCCAUGUUUAUAUAUGGCAAUUCCCAUUUCUCCAGUCACUAAGGCCAAAAACUUUAUGAUUAUCCUUGACUGUUCUUUUAUAUCCCACAUCUUAUCUACCUUGGCAGAUCUUGGCUUUAUUUUCAAAAUAUAUGCAGAACACUUCCUACCACCUCCAUUGUUAGCACCCUGAUUCAAGCCACCAUCAUCUUUUGCCUUGAUUAUUGCAGUAGCUUCGUAACAGCACUUCCAGCUUUGACCCUUGCGUCCUAUAAUCUGUUUUCCACAGAGCAACAAGAACAAUUCUUUUUUUUCUUUUUUUUGAGAUGGAGUUUCGCUGUUGUUGCCCAGGCUGGAGUGCAAUGGCACAAUCUUGGCUCACCGCAAACUCUGCUUCCCGGGUUAGGUGAUUCUCCUGCCUCAGCCUCUCCAGUAGCUGGGAUUACAGGCAUGCGCCACCACGCCCAGCUAAUUUUGUAUUUUUAGCAGAGACAGGGUUUUUCCAUGUUGGUCAGGCUGGUCUGGAACUCCCGACGUCAGGUGAUCUGCCCGCCUUGGCCUCCCAGAGUGCUGGGAUUACAGGCAUGAGCCACCAUGCCUGGCCAAGAACAAUUCUUUAAAAUGUUAAGUCAGCUCUCCCACUCUUCUGCACACAGGCCUCUAAAGGCUUCGAAUCUCACUCAGAGGAAAGCCUAAAUUCUUACAAGUGAGGCUGUUGCUCCAGUGCUGGAACAAGUAGAGGCCACAGUCCAGUGUUGCUCCUCUUGCCAAGUCUGCCCAGAGAAAGGGACCUCUUUUUCUAAACCGCACAAAGGUACCCCCUAGGCUGAUAGUAGUUCUGCCCUCAAGACCCUACAUGCUACAUAAUCUGGCAGUUACCUCUCUGAUCUCAUCUCUUCUCUCCCUUUCUCAUUCUCUUCUAGCCCCACGGGCCCUCUAGCUGUUCCUCAAAUGUGUUGUCCCACCCUGAGGCCUUUGGACUGGCUACUCUCUUUGCCUCAACCACUCAUCUCCCAGGAAUCUACAUGACCUGCUAUUUUCAGAUUUCUGAAAUGUCACCUUAUCAGUAAGCUCUUUUGUCUUUCCUGACUUACUGCCCUUAUAGAAAAUGGUAUCCUCCCACCUUCCUUACUCUCUAUCCCCCAUACCUUGUUUUAUUUUUCUUCAUACAACUUAACCCCUAUCUGUCAUACUAUAUUUCUAUAUAUAUAUAAUUUUUUUCUUUCUUUUUUUUUUUUUUUUUUUGAGACAGAAUCUCCCUCUGUCGCCCAGGCUGGAUUGCAGUGGUAUGAUCUUAGCCCACUGCAACCUCCACCUCUCUGGUCCAAAUGAUUCUCAUACCUCAGCCACCUAAGUAGCUGGGAUUAUAGGUGUGAGCCCCUGCGCCCAGCUAAUUUUUAUAUUCUUUAAUAGAGACUGGGUUUUGCCAUGUUGGCCAGACUGAUCUCAAACUCCUAACCUCAAGUGAUCCACCUGCCUCGGCUUUCCAAAGUGCUGGGAUUACAGGCAUGAGCCGCUGUGCCUGGACUAUUUUUUUUCUUGUGUGUUGUCUGUUUCUACAUGAAUGUAACCUUUGUGAGAUUAGGGACUUUGUUUUGUUCAAUACUGUGUCUCCAUUGUCUAGAAUAAUGGCAGACAAACAAUAGGUGUCCCCCAAAUAUUGAAUAAAUAAAUGUAGCACAACUUAAGCAUUGCCCUAGAUUUUGUUUUACUAGAUGUUUUCCCUAAUGUUUCCUUGCCCCCUUCCGUAGGCUGAUGAGAUGCCCCUCUGGCCUUCUGUAGCCUAUUGUGCUUACCUCUGUCACACUGCCUUUUCUGCUUUGUAGCAGUGGCUCAUUUACUAGACCUGGAACACUUGACUGGGAACCCUUGUGACUUGUCAACACAUCCCUAAAUGUCUAAUAUGAAUGAAUGAAUGAAUGAAUGGUAAUCUUGGUUGGUUUAUGUAACUCAAUGGCAUUUUGUAGAUGUUAAGGAACAAUCCCUUUAGCUGUGUUCUGGUUUGAGAGCACCACAAGUCCAAUGUCUUAUGAAUAGACUAGAUUAUUGUUCAGUGAUUAUUGAUUAUUCAGCAAACAUAUGUUUGAGUACUGCUCUGCUAGAAACUGCAUUAUGCACUUGAAUGCAUAUGGUAGAGGAGGG
rnacentral:lncRNA from 10 species